ACCCGCUGAAUUUAAGCAUAUCAAUAAGCGGAGGAAGAGAAACUAACCAGGAUUCCCGCAGUAACGGCGAGCGAAGUGGGAAGAGCUCGAGCCUGUAAUCUCUGGUAGUGUUGCCAGCGAAUUGUGGCCGGGAGAGGUGGCCUGGUCCUGUCUUGCGGCGUCAAAGUUGACCUGGAAGGGCACGUCGGAGAGGGUGAGAACCCCGUUGUUGACCCCGCAAGUGUGGGCAGACGCCGCCUUCUGAGAGUCGGGUUGUUUGGGAAUGCAGCCCAAAGUGGGUGGUAAACUCCAUCUAAAGCUAAAUACGGACACGAGACCGAUAGCGAACAAGUACCAUGAGGGAAAGGUGAAAAGUACUUUGAAAAGAGAGUCAAAGAGACCGCGAAACCGUUUGGAGGGAAGCGAAUGCAGCUUGACGACUCCGUUCGGGUUCAGGGAGGGUGGUCGGCCUUCUUGUGCGGGUCAACUCGCAAGAGUGCUCCGCCUCGCUUGACCGUCGACCCUUCUGCAUUCCCGUCUUGGAGUUGGCCAACGAGGGUGGCUGGUGGCCAGUACAAGGCUGGAGGGUAGGUGCCUUCAGUGGCUUUCGGGUCGUUGGAGAACUUAGAGCCUCCGACUGGUUUGGUUGCUAGCUGCCGAGGAGAUGUGCCGCCUUGGCACAAGUCAGUGCAGGCUCCGCAGGGGCCGGGCCGCUUCUGUCCGUUUGGGAGGCGCAGCAAGGGACUGCCUGCAGUGCCUGUUGACGUCCUUUUCUGCUCGGGCGGGAGGUGGGUCACGAUGUGUGCUGUAGUCGUUGGUAGAGGGAUGGCUUCAUCCGACCCGUCUUGAAACACGGACCAAGGAGUGCAAGAGGCGUGCGAGUCUUUGGAUGGACCAAAUCCGAGGACGCAAUGAAGUGUAGGGAGACUUGUCUCCCGAGGCGGGAGCCGGUCUUUGGGCCGGCCCACCGUCGACCGAUCCCAGGUCACGCUGUGGUGGGAUUCGAGUUAGAGCGUGUCUGUUGCGACCCGAAAGAUGGUGAACUAUGCCUGAAUAGGGCGAAGCCAGAGGAAACUCUGGUGGAAGCUCGUAGCGGUUC
rnacentral:rRNA from 1 species